rnacentral:rRNA from 1 species
CAGUCGCCGCGGGAAUACGUAGGUGGCAAGCGUUGUCCGGAAUUAUUGGGCGUAAAGGGCUCGCAGGCGGUUUCUUAAGUCUGAUGUGAAAGCCCCCGGCUCAACCGGGGAGGGUCAUUGGAAACUGGGAAACUUGAGUGCAGAAGAGGAGAGUGGAAUUCCACGUGUAGCGGUGAAAUGCGUAGAGAUGUGGAGGAACACCAGUGGCGAAGGCGACUCUCUGGUCUGUAACUGACGCUGAGGGGCGAAAGCGUGGGGAGCGAACAGGAUUAGAUACCCCUGUAGUCCCUGUCUCUUAUAC